ensembl:lncRNA novel transcript
CUACAAGGGCAUAAGGAAUGAGAGAUGUGGUUAUGACCAUCUUUGAAAAACACAAUCUGCCACAUUCUUCAAAACAACUGGAAGGUGAUGAAACUGAGGCUGAGAAAGGAAGAUUGGCAGCUGGCAAUAAAGUGGGAGCCAGGAUGCAAGCUCAGGAGGUCUGAUACCAGAACGUUUGCUGCUGUGUCCCAAGCCUCCCUGCAGUGGAAAUGCACAGGAGAUGCCAGGCCUAAGCUGGCUGUUGUAAGCAUCCAGCCCAGUCCACAGUGGGUCACAGGAGACCCACAGAGAAGCCCACCUGCAGAGAUCUAGUGUCCAUGGACUGAGGGCCCAAUCAACCUGCUUAUCUGCUCAGAGCUCAUCAAUACAGACUCAUACUGUCUCGAUUUCUAUCUCUUCCUAAAUGCCUUUUCCCAGCUUGAUACAUUAAAAAUAUAUUCUCCAGCUUUCC